rnacentral:lncRNA from 1 species
CCUCAGGCACAUGGGGUGGCUCUUGGGCUGUCUUGUGCAGAGCCAGGAGUCUGAUCCUGAUAGGUCCUUCCAAAUCAGCAUUUCUACGGUCCUGUGACUGGCCCCAGUGUGAGAGGUGGAUGCAUUGCUGACAUGGGAAAGAAAGGCACAGACAGGAGAAGGAAGCAGGAGAGAGAUAAGAGCUGUUGGAGACUGGGAUGACAAUACUGGUGCUUGGAGGAAACUAAUCCUCUCUGUUUCAAUGAGCCUCGACCAUCUGGUAUUAAUUGAGAUGUUUGAACACCUCAUGAAAAACAGACUCAUGAAUCUGUUUUACAUAUCUGAAGUAUUUCCAAGCACAGUAAGUAGCAGUGGUUUUUGCUGCUAAAAUUGAAAAGCAGAAAAAAACACUGGUGAUUUUGGGGUGGUUUUUUGGGGGGUUUUGUUUGGUUGGUUUUUUGUGGGUUUGGAGGGGUUUUUAUAAUUGUUUUUUGUUUGUUUGUUUGGUUUUUCGUGUUUGCUUAUUUGCUUUGGGUUUUGUUUAUCUUUUAUUCUUAAAAAUCUAACAGCUUAUGUUAACUUCACCUUUUCUGCUCCAGGUCUGUCCUCCAUCUGAAGUUUCAAAAUGUAAGUCCAGUAUUCAUGUAGAUGCUCAGAAGGCAAGAGAAACAGGGAAGUGCUUUCCUGUCAUCCAGGUGUGCGUUUGUCUGUGGGGAAGCCUGCCAACCAGCUGGCAUUCCUGACGUGAUCUGUCCUGCCCUCCACACCUGGGAAGUGCUAGUGGGGUACACAUUGACAUAACUGGGGAGGAAGCAACUUUUCUCUUCUCUGACUGAGCUUUCUAAACAGUUCCUACUCAGAGGUGGCCCUCUUUCCCCCCAGGCCAUUUCUUCUCCACUCCACACUCUGCAGCAUGACUGUAGUCUCAGCCUGAUACAAAAUCCUGCAAGCUUGCUUUGCUGUGAACCCAAUAAUUUGUGUUGAGAAUGCUUUUCUUUCAAACCCUGCAGGCACAUUGCUG